GAGUCCACCACUAAGCCAUGUCUCUGCAUCACCAAAGUGGCUGCUCUAGUUGGCUAGAGCAAUAUUAUACGAUUGGCAUGGUCAGUAGACAACUCCAUCAGCUCCAAACACCUAGACAUGUUUGAUUCUUAUGAUCAUUGCCCCGGAGAUUUAUACCAGAGGCAGCAACUUUUGUUGCCAUUCUCAUUUCUGGGAGAGAUGUUACCAAGAAAAUUUUCAGU
rnacentral:misc_RNA from 1 species